GGCAAACGGGUGAGUAACGCGUGGGUAACGUACCCUGAUCCUGGGAAUAACCCUCGGAAACGAGGGCUAAUACCGAAUGUGGCGAACGACCGGUUGGUCGCUCGCUAAAGGUGGCCUCUUCUAUGCUGCCGGGUUGGGAUCGGCCCGCGUCCCAUUAGCUAGUUGGUGAGGUAACGGCUCACCAAGGCCACGAUGGGUAGCCGGCCUGAGAGGGUGUACGGCCACACUGGCACUGAGACAAGGGCCAGUCCCCUAUGGGAGGCGCAGGCGGGAAUAGUUCACAAUGGGCGAAAGCCUGAUGACGCGACGCCGCGUGAGCGAAGAAGACCUUCGGGUUGUAAAGCUCUGUCAGGAGGGAAGAAGGCUCUACGGGUUAAUAGCCCGUGGAAUUGACGGUACCUCCAGAGGAAGCCCCGGCUAAAUACGUGCCAGCAGCCGCGGUAAUACGUAUGGGGCAAGCGUUGUCCGGAUUUACUGGGCGUAAAGGGCGCGUAGGCGGUUUGUUAAGUCGAAGGUGAAAUCCUCGGGCUCAACUCGAGAAUUGCCUUCGAUACUGGCAAACUAGAGUGGCGGAGAGGAAAGCGGAACUCUUGGUGUAACGGUGGAAUGUGUAGAUAUCAAGAGGAACACCGGUGGCGAAGGCGGCUUUCUGGACGCACACUGACGCUCAGGCGCGAAAGCGUGGGUAGCAAACAGGAUUAGAUACCCUGGUAGUCCACGCCAUAAACGAUGGGUACUAGGUGUCGGGGGUAUCGACCCCUCCGGUGCCGCAGUUAACGCACUAAGUACCCCGCCUGGGGAUUAUGGUCGCAAGGCUGAAACUCAAAGGAACUGACGGGGCCCCGCACAAGCGGUGGAGCAUGUGGUUUAAUUCGACGCAACGCGAAGAACCUUACCUGGGCUUGACAUGCUUGGGACAGCGCUGGAAACAGCGUCUCUCCUUCGGGAGCCCUUGCACAGGUGCUGCAUGGCUGUCGUCAGCUCGUGUCGUGAGAUGUUGGGUUAAGUCCCGCAACGAGCGCAACCCUCGUUACUAGUUGCCAUCAGUUCGGCUGGGCACUCUAGUGAGACUGCCGGUGAUAAACCGGAGGAAGGUGAGGAUGAUGUCAAGUCAUCAUGGCCCUUACGCCCAGGGCUACACACGUGCUACAAUGGUCGGCACAAAGGGUCGCUAAGCCGCGAGGUGGAGCUAAUCCCAAAAAGCCGGCCUCAGUUCGGAUUGGAGUCU
rnacentral:rRNA from 1 species